UUUGCUACUUGUAGCAGUUGUGCUGUAUACUUGAACUAAAUAUAAUCCUUGGUGAAAAUGUAUUUGUGGAUUGUUGUUGAAGGACAUAUGUACAUAUGUAUGUAUAUAUGAAUGUAUAUUUUUAUGUACAAAACUUUAAAAAAUAUUUUUUUAUUUAGUUAGAGAUAGGGCUCAUUUGAAAGCAACAUUGUAAACUAUUCAAGAUAUAUAUAUAUAUAUCUUGUUAAAUAUCUGAACGACAAAAAUAUGGAAAUCCACACAUACCAGAUCAAGCAAGAGCGAGGUUUUCGGGAGGUGAUUAAAAACCUCCAUCCUACAUCAGAAAUUGAAGACAUCAAAAAAGAAAUUGAAAAUUUUGCCAUCGUGUUAGAAGAGUCAGCAACAUUACAAGCCGUGCAGACAAACGCCCUCUGCCCUUAUUUUUCGUGGAUAUUGAACCAGACAAGAACAGCAAAACUAUUUAUGAGAUCAGAUACCUUGUUAAUGCAGUCGUUCAGGUUGAUACCACCAAAGCAAGUUAAUUCCAUUGUUCAAUGUCACAGAUGUCAAGAGUUUGGACACACGAAAAGGUAUGGUAACAAAUCUUAUGCUUGCGUUAAAUGCGGUUCCAAUCACAAAACAACUGAUUGCACCAAGGCCAGAAAUGCUCCUGCUAAAUGUGCAAACUGCCAGCACGAACAUCCGGCUAAUUAUAGCGGGUGUCAAGUACACCAGUCACUAAAAAAAUAAAUAUAAUGUAAGCAAAGCUCGCACGACGGAGAGUCUGCAUGUUUAUACUACCACAGAAUUCCCAAAUUUGCAAAAACAAAAUUCAUUCUUCACUAGCAAAACAAAUAACGCGGCUUCGUACGCUGAUGUGGUAAAAACAACUAACCUCGAUCAAUUUUUAGAAAAAUUUAACGGUAUUGUCAACCAUAUUAACGAAAUCGAAACAUUUCUUAAUAAAAAUUGUAUAGAUAUAUUUUUAGUUUCCGAAACUCACUUUUCACAGAGAUCGUAUUUUAAAAUUAGAGGAUACGACAUAGUAUUUUGUAACCACCCUGGGGGAAGAGCCCGAGGCGGGUCGGCGGUUAUUAUUAAAACGAAAAUUAAAUAUGAACCAUUGAAAGAAAUUUGUUCACCAUCAAUACAAAUUUCGCGCAUUAAAAUCAAAACAAACACACGCUCAAUAGUUAUUGGCGCUGGAUACUUUCCACCCAGGCACACAAUUAAUUGCAUAGAGUAUGGAAAUAUGUUUAAUGAACUUGGCUCGACAUUCCUACUCGGAGGAGAUUUUAAUGCCAAACACUCUUGGUAGGGCUCUCGCUUAAAUAACCCAAAAGGUAAUGAGCUAUUGUGGUACUCCAAUCAUCACCUAUAAUUUUUCAAAGAAAGCCAAGAAUUGUGACUCCACGAACUGAUAUUUCAUUAUUUUCUCACUGGUUAGAACAAUAAUAUUGAUCUUAGUAUCCAAUUAAGAACCACUGACCAAUUAGACGACUUUGUUGAAAAAUUCAAUAACAUCAUUGUAGAAGCAGGUUUUAUCUCAACUCCACAAGAUACUUGUGAAGCAAACAAUAGCUAUAUCCCUUCCGAAAUCAAAAACCUAAUAAGAGAAAAACGUGCAUUGAGGAAAGUAUGGCAAAGAACCCAGAAUCCAAUUGACAAAUUAUUGUUAAACAGAGCUACUAAACAUUGAAAGACAAGGCUUAAACAGUUAAAAAACAAUUCUCUUGAAACCUUUUUAUCCAACCUUAAGCCUAACGCAACACGCUCCGAAUGUCUGUGGAAUGCCACAAAAUAUCUCAAAUGACCAAAAGUGAGAAAGGUUCCAAUAAAAGACUCUAGCAAUUCAUGGUAUCGGUCAGAUGAGGAUAAAGCAGAUGCGUUUGCUAAGUACCUAAAAGAAUUAUUCACACCAUUUAAUUUUAUUGAUGCUUCUGAUGAAAGGGAAGUGAUGUACUUUUUGGAUACUCCAUGCCAAAUGGAUUUCCAAUAAGGUGCAUUGUUUUAUCAGAGGUGAAAGAGGAAUUGGCAAAAUGUGGCAGUAAAAAGAGCUCAGGAUACGAUCAGAUAGACCACACUGUAAAGCACCUAACGGAGAAAUCCAUGUGAGCCCUGACAAUUAUUUUUAAUGCCAUACUGAUGCUUCAGCACUUUCCAACAGCCUGGAAAUGUGCGGAAAUAAUUAGGAUUGCUAAACCAAAAAAACAGAUAAUUUAGUUAGUUCAUAUCGCCCGAUAAGUCCGCUGGUCGCUUACUCAAAGGUAUUCGAAAGAAUUCUCUUACGAAGAUUGAUGCCAGUAAUGGAAAACUUAAAAACAUAUCCUGACCAACAGUACGGGUUUCGCAGAAACCACGGAACUCCUGAACAAUGCCAUAGAGUAUAUAAUAAAAGGUCAGCUCUAGAAAAAAAAGAAUAUUGUUCCGGGGCAUUCCUUGAUGUGCAAGAAGCAUUUGAUAAAGUCUGGCACCCCGGAUUGCUAUACAAAUUAAAUAAAUAUUUACCUGCCCCCUUUUUAUUUCUUAUAAAUCUUAUUUAAAAUAUAGAGAAUUUUAUGUAAGGGUUGGAAAUGAGUGCUCAAAUAUAUAUGAAAUAAAAUCAGGCGUACCACAGGGAAGUGUUUUGGGGCCAAUUCUUUAUUCGAUCUUCACAUCGGAUAAACCAAAAAAAUAACGAUGUUACAAUAUCAAUAUACACUGAUGACACUGCAGUCUUAACUUCAAAUAAAUUGCCGUCUGGAUCUUCUGACAUACUACAAAAUUACUUAUUCCAACUAGAAGACUGGCUCAAGAUGUGGAAUAUUAAAGUCAAUUCAGAUAAAUCGGUCCAUGUCACUUUUGCCCUAAGAAAAGGUGAUUUUCCUUCAAUAAAAAUCUUUAAUACAGACAUACCUGUAAGCGAUCAUGUGAAAUACCUGGGGCUACACAUGGACAGAAGGCUCACCUGGAAAUACCAUGUAAAAGCGAAAAGGGAGCAAAUUAAUAUAAAACUGAGAAGUCUUCAUUGACUUCUGGGCCAAAAAUCUGUUCUUUCUCUUGAAAAUAAAUUGCUAAUAUAUAAAACUAUUAUCAAACCCAUUUGGACUUAUGCGAUACAAAUAUGGGGAACAGCAAGCAAAUCAAAUAUUGAAAUAAUACAGCGGGUUCAAUCAAAAACUCUAAGGUCAAUAACAAAUGCUCCAUGGUAUGUGUCAAACCAUACUAUUCAAAGAGAUCUAAAAAUAUACACCGUCAAAGAUGAAAUAAAAAAGUUCAGUGAUAGGUAUAAAACCAGGUUGGAUAACCAUCCCAAUCCUU